AGUGAACGCUGGCGGCGUGCUUAACACAUGCAAGUCGAACGAGAACGGAUUAUAGCUUGCUAUAAUUGUCAGCUAAGUGGCGCACGGGUGAGUAAUGUAUAGGUAAUAUGCCUCUUACUAAGGGAUAACAAAUGGAAACGUUUGCUAAUACCUUAUACUCCUUAUUAACAGAAGUUAAUAAGGGAAAGAUUUAUUGGUAAGAGAUUAGCCUGUAUUGUAUCAGUUAGUUGGUGGGGUAAUGGCCUACCAAGACUAUGACACAUAACUGGUUUGGGAGGAUGAUCCGUCACACUGGAACUGAGACACGGGCCAGACUCCUACGGGAGGCAGCAGUGGGGAAUAUUGCACAAUGGACGAAAGUCUGAUGCAGCAACGCCGCGUGGAGGAUGACACAUUUCGGUGCGUAAACUCCUUUUAUAUGAGAAGAUAAUGACGGUAUUAUAUGAAUAAGCACCGGCUAACUCCGUGCCAGCCGCCGCCGUAA
rnacentral:rRNA from 1 species